rnacentral:lncRNA from 10 species
UAUAAAGGUCAGCAGCACUGACCUUAUUCUGUAAGAUUUGGUGAAUCUUUUAGCCUUAGAGUUGUUAAUGAGGAUCUUAUUUUCACUCUCAAUUCAUAACUCAGAUAAUUAUGUCCCAGAAUUUGUUCGUAUUAGUGGAUUUAAUAGUAAAAUUCAAGUCUACAUGAUGGACUUUUAUACCUGGAUUUAGUUUUAAAAAGG